rnacentral:rRNA from 1 species
UACGUAGGAUGCAAGCGUUGUCCGGAUUUAUUGGGUUUAAAGGGGGCGUAGGCGGCCAAUUACGUUAGUGGUGAAAACGUUCGGCUUAACCGGAUACCCGCCAUUGAUACUGAUAGACUUGAGUGCGACAGAGGGUGUUGGAAUGUGUGGUGUAGCGGUGAAAUGCUUAGAUAUCACGCAGAACACCAAUUGCGAAGGCAGAUGCCUAUGUCGUAACUGACGCUGAGGCAAGAAAGCGUGGGGAGCAAACAGG